rnacentral:rRNA from 1 species
UUGAACGCUGGCGGCAUGCUUUACACAUGCAAGUCGAACGGCAGCGGGGGCUUCGGCCUGCCGGCGAGUGGCGAACGGGUGAGUAAUGUAUCGGAACGUACCUUUCAGUGGGGGAUAACGUAGCGAAAGUUACGCUAAUACCGCAUAUUCUGUGAGCAGGAAAGCAGGGGAUCUUAGGACCUUGCGCUGAUUGAGCGGCCGAUAUCAGAUUAGCUAGUUGGUGAGGUAAAGGCUCACCAAGGCGACGAUCUGUAGCGGGCCUGAGAGGAUGAUCCGCCACACUGGAACUGAGACACGGUCCAGACUCCUACGGGAGGCAGCAGUGGGGAAUUUUGGACAAUGGGCGCAAGCCUGAUCCAGCCAUGCCGCGUGAGUGAAGAAGGCCUUCGGGUUGUAAAGCUCUUUCAGCCGGGAAGAAAACGCAUGGGUUAAUACCCUGUGUGGAUGACGGUACCGGAAUAAGAAGCACCGGCUAACUACGU